rnacentral:rRNA from 1 species
UACGUAGGUGACCAGCGUUGUCCGGAUUUACUGGGCGUAAAGAGCGCGCAGGCGGUCGUUCAAGUCGAGUGUGAAAGCCCCCGGCUCAACUGGGGAGGGUCAUUCGAUACUGAUCGACUGGAAGGCAGGAGAGGGAAGCGGAAUUCCCGGUGUAGUGGUGAAAUGCGUAGAUAUCGGGAGGAACACCAGUGGCGAAGGCGGCUUUCUGGCCUGUUCUUGACGCUGAGGCGCGAAAGCCAGGGGAGCAAACGGG